GCCAAAGCUUCAUAAGCAGCUUCAAAAGCUUCUUGCCAAAAACGAGGCAGUUUAGUACUAGAGCUGUGGGUGUAGAUGUCCCACAUAUGCCUCACCAAAUGCUCUUUCUCUUCCACUUCAAGGAUGUCGAGAUCAUCAUCACGGAUUGGAAAGUCGAGAUCGUCGUUGACAUGGGAGAGGUUACCGGUGGACCAUUUUAGAGUAACGGAGCCAGUGAACAUAGUCCAAAAUGCAAGAAGGAGAAUUGCAGCUAAGACCCAGAACUUGUAUCGAGUUUUACCAAAAAGAGCACCAUCUGAGGCAUCCUUCUUCGCUCUUGUAGCAGUGGCGGCGGUUGCAGGUAUUGAUAUAAUUGUCGGCGCAUCAUCGUCCUUCAUAUUCGCAGAAAGAAUGUCAGAAGCUCAGAGUAGGAGCAAUAGCACACCGGCGGUGCGUUGAGCAGGGAGCGGAAAGAGAGAAUUGUUUUAGUAAAUGUGCUUUGCAGUGGCGGGUGGAGUGGGUUCUCUCUCAUUAACUCAAAACUCA
rnacentral:misc_RNA from 1 species